rnacentral:rRNA from 1 species
AGAGUUUGAUCCUGGCUCAGGAUGAACGCUAGCGACAUGCUUAACACAUGCAAGUCGAGGGGCAGCGGGGGAGUAGCAAUACUUCGCCGGCGACCGGCGCACGGGUGAGUAACACGUGUGCAACCAACCCCGUACCGGGAGAUAACCCGCGGAAACGUGGACUAACAUCCCAUAAGACUCUAGAGCCGCAUGGCUUUGGAUUUAAAAUUCCGGUGGUACGGGACGGGCACGCGCGACAUUAGGUAGUUGGCGGGGUAAGGGCCCACCAAGCCG